rnacentral:rRNA from 1 species
UGGGGAAUAUUGGACAAUGGGCGCAAGCCUGAUCCAGCCAUGCCGCGUGAGUGACGAAGGUCUUCGGAUUGUAAAGCUCUUUUGCCAGGGACGAUAAUGACGGUACCUGGAGAAUAAGCCCCGGCUAACUUCGUGCCAGCAGCCGCGGUAAUACGAAGGGGGCUAGCGUUGUUCGGAAUUACUGGGCGUAAAGCGCACGUAGGCGGAUUUGUUAGUCAGGGGUGAAAUCCCGGGGCUCAACCUCGGAACUGCCUUUGAUACUGCAAGUCUCGAGUCCGGAAGAGGUGAGUGGAAUUCCGAGUGUAGAGGUGAAAUUCGUAGAUAUUCGGAAGAACACCAGUGGCGAAGGCGGCUCACUGGACGUGUAUUGACGCUGAGGUACGAAAGCGUGGGGAGCAAACAGGAUUAGAUACCCCGGUAGUCCCUGAGCGGGCUGGCAAGGCGCAU